AGAGUUUGAUCAUGGCUCAGGAUGAACGCUAGCGGCAGGCUUAAUACAUGCAAGUCGUGGGGCAGCGCAGUGUAGCAAUACAUGGGCGGCGACCGGCAAACGGGUGCGGAACACGUACGCAACCUUCCUUUAAGUGGGGGAUAGCCCAGGGAAACUUGGAUUAAUACCCCGUAAUAUUACGGAGUGGCAUCACUUUUUAAUUAUAGCAGCAAUGCGCUUGAAGAUGGGCGUGCGCCUGAUUAGGUAGUUGGCGGGGUAACGGCCCACCAAGCCUUCGAUCAGUAACUGGUGUGAGAGCACGACCAGUCACACGGGCACUGAGACACGGGCCCGACUCCUACGGGAGGCAGCAGUAAGGAAUAUUGGUCAAUGGACGAAAGUCUGAACCAGCCAUGCCGCGUGGAGGAUGAAGGUCCUCUGGAUUGUAAACUUCUUUUAUUUGGGAAGAAACCCACGAUUUCUAUUGUGGUUGACGGUACCAGAUGAAUAAGCACCGGCUAACUCCGUGCCAGCAGCCGCGGUAAUACGGAGGGUGCAAGCGUUAUCCGGAUUCACUGGGUUUAAAGGGUGCGUAGGCGGGCAGGUAAGUCAGUGGUGAAAUCCCCGAGCUUAACUUGGGAACUGCCGUUGAUACUAUCUGUCUUGAAUACUAUGGAGGUAAGCGGAAUAUGUCAUGUAGCGGUGAAAUGCUUAGAUAUGACAUAGAACACCAAUUGCGAAGGCAGCUUGCUACACAGUUAUUGACGCUGAGGCACGAAAGCGUGGGGAUCAAACAGGAUUAGAUACCCUAGUAGUCC
rnacentral:rRNA from 1 species